GUAGUCUCGCACAGAUGCAUAUCAAUAAGCGGAGGAAAAGAAACUAACAAGGAUUCCCCUAGUAACGGCGAGUGAAGCGGGAAGAGCUCAAAUUUGAAAUCUUAAAGGGUUUCCCUUUACGAAUUGUAGUUUAAAGAAGUGUUUUUCUGUUGAGGUUUUGGUAAAAGUUCUUUGGAAUAGGACAUCAUAGAGGGUGAGAAUCCCGUAUUUGACCCUUACUUUCAACUUUGUGAUACACUUUCAAAGAGUCGGAUUGUUUGGGAAUGCAGUCCAAAAUGGGUGGUAAAUUUCAUCUAAAGCUAAAUAUUGGCGAGAGACCGAUAGCGAACAAGUACCGUGAGGGAAAGAUGAAAAGAACUUUGAAAAGAGAGUUAAAGCAGUACGUGAAAUUGUCAAAAGGGAAGCGUUUGACACCAGUGUUGUUUUUCUGAAAAUCAAUUAAAGAACUGUUUAUGCUAAGUUGUUUAGACUUUAUCAGCUAUCUGUUUAGUUUUGAGCUUUUCUUUAAUGCACUUUUCAGUUAACAAGUCGACAUCAAUUUCUUUUGCCUGUAAAAAAGCUUGAGGAAGGUGGCUUGAGAUUCGUCUUAAGUGUUUAUAGCCUCUUGCCUAUGCAGUCGGAGAGAUUGAGGUCUGCAGCGUAGAUCCUUCGGGGCUAAAUGCAUUUGUGCUAAGUUAUAGCAUUUUAUAGACAACUUGUUGACUAUGAUUUGUCUUGUAGCUUACUCGCUUAUGUUAUUUUACCUACGCUUAGGAUGUUGAUCUGUAGUGCGUGCGC
rnacentral:rRNA from 1 species